AUUGAACGCUGGCGGCAUGCCUUACACAUGCAAGUCGAACGGCAGCGCGGGCUUCGGCCUGGCAGCGAGUGGCGGACGGGUGAGUAAUGCAUCGGAACGUGCCCAGGAGUGGGGGAUAACGUAGCGAAAGUUACGCUAAUACCGCAUACGUACUGAGGUAGAAAGCGGGGGAUCGAAAGACCUCGCGCUCAUGGAGCGGCCGAUGUCGGAUUAGCUAGUUGGUGAGGUAAAAGCUCACCAAGGCGACGAUCCGUAGCUGGUCUGAGAGGACGACCAGCCACACUGGGACUGAGACACGGCCCAGACUCCUACGGGAGGCAGCAGUGGGGAAUCUUGGACAAUGGGGGAAACCCUGAUCCAGCAAUGCCGCGUGUGGGAUGAAGGCCCUCGGGUUGUAAACCACUUUUGGCAGGAAAGAAAUCGCCUGUGCUAAUACCAUGGGCGAAUGACGGUACCUGCAGAAUAAGCACCGGCUAACUACGUGCCAGCCGCCGCCGUAA
rnacentral:rRNA from 1 species